UACGUAGGGUGCGAGCGUUGUCCGGAAUUACUGGGCGUAAAGAGCUCGUAGGUGGUUUGUCGCGUUGUCCGUGAAAACUCACAACUCAAUUGUGGGCGUGCGGGCGAUACGGGCAGACUGGAGUACUGCAGGGGAGACUGGAAUUCCUGGUGUAGCGGUGGAAUGCGCAGAUAUCAGGAGGAACACCGGUGGCGAAGGCGGAUCUCUGGGCCUUACCUGACGCUGAGGAGCGAAAGCAUGGGGAGCAAACAGG
rnacentral:rRNA from 1 species